rnacentral:rRNA from 1 species
AGUGAACGCUGGCGGUAGGCCUAACACAUGCAAGUCGAACGGCAGCACAGUAAGAGCUUGCUCUUAUGGGUGGCGAGUGGCGGACGGGUGAGGAAUACAUCGGAAUCUACUUUUUCGUGGGGGAUAACGUAGGGAAACUUACGCUAAUACCGCAUACGACCUACGGGUGAAAGCAGGGGAUCUUCGGGCCUUGCGCGAUUGAAUGAGCCGAUGUCGGAUUAGCUAGUUGGCGGGGUAAAGGCCCACCAAGGCGACGAUCCGUAGCUGGUCUGAGAGGAUGAUCAGCCACACUGGAACUGAGACACGGUCCAGACUCCUACGGGAGGCAGCAGUGGGGAAUAUUGGACAAUGGGCGCAAGCCUGAUCCAGCCAUACCGCGUGGGUGAAGAAGGCCUUCGGGUUGUAAAGCCCUUUUGUUGGGAAAGAAAAGCAGCAGGUUAAUACCCCGCUGUUCUGACGGUACCCAAAGAAUAAGCACCGGCUAACUUCGUG